UGCAGAAACAACCGAACAAAAUUAGAACAGGCCGUCAUGUCGACGCUCAGCCUCACCGUGCUCCGGAGAGAGCCCGUGCUCGUCGGCCCAGCCUCGCCGACGACACCGUGCGAGAAGAAGCGCCUCUCCGACGUCGACAACCAAGACGAGCUGCGGUCGCACAUCCGCGGCAUCUUCUUCUACCGCGGCGGAGGGCUCGCGCGCGGCGACCCCGGGGACAUCAUCCGUCGAGCCUUGUCCGAGGCGCUGGUACACUACUACCCGCUCGCCGGACGGCUCCUGGAGGUGGAGAACCGGAAACUUGCCGUUGACUGCACCGGCGAAGGGGUGACGUUCAUCGAGGCAGACGCCGACGUGCGAAUGGCGGAUCUCGAGGCCGACGUGCCCGGGCUGAUGCCGCCAUUCCCGUGGAUUGAGGAGCUCUGCUUCGAGGUGGACGGCUCCAGCGCUGUGCUCAACUGCCCCUUGGUGAUCAUUCAGGUGACGCGGCUCCUGUGCGGCGGCUUCGCCGUGUGGCAUAGCUUCAACCACACCAUGUGCGACGCCGCGGGGUUCAUCCAGUUCCUGAACGCCGUCGCCGAGCUCGCUCGAGUUCCUGAACGCCGUCGCCGAGCUCGCUCCAGUCCGACCGUCGCACCUGCCUGGUCUCGCGAGGUUCUUGACGCGCGAAGCCCCCCAACGCCUGCAUUCCCGCACAGCGAGUACGAUCCAGUGCCUCGGGCGCAGACACCAACAGAGGACGACGUUGUAAGGCGCGCCUUCGUGUUCGGCCUUUCAGACAUCGCCGCGAUCAAGGAAGGCCUGCCGCCUCACCUCCGGGACAGGGCAACGAGCUUCGAGGUGCUCGCGGCGGUGCUGUGGCGCGCCCGCACGGCGUCGUUGAGGACGCUCUGGUCUGACGAGGAGGCGCGGCUGGUGACCGUCGUCAGCGCGAGGAGGCACAGCAGCGCCCUGAGCCUCCCCGCCGGCUACUACGGCUUCGCUUGCGCGUACGUCACCGUGGUGAUGGCCGCCAGCACGCUGCUCAGCUGCUCGUUGGCGGACGUGGUGGAGCAGGUGCGGGAGGCCAAGGCGUCGGUGACCCCCGAGUAUAUGCGCUCCACUGCGGACCUUCUGGUGCUCCGUGGCCGACCGCCUUUGGCCAGGGCAAACAUGUUCCUUCUGUCUGACCUCCGGCACGUUGGGUUCCAGCGCGUGGACUUCGGGUGGGGCGAGCCGGUGUACGGCGGGCCCUCUGGCGUCAAGUUCGGGAGUGCCUUUGUGGCUGUCAAGACCAGCGACGGAACAGACGCGGUGGCGGUGCCGGUCGCACUGCCAACCAUGGCCAUGGAUGUUAGAAUAAAUCUGAGGCAUACCGUCGAUCAUCCGAGGACCAAGCAAUCACAU
rnacentral:rRNA from 1 species